rnacentral:lncRNA from 1 species
CAGCCUUCUGAGCCUCUGAGGAGAGUUCUCUGAAGAAUCAAAGGGCACAUAGCCAUUGGCAGCAAAGGUUUUUUGACUGACGGAUCUCUGCUCCUGGACAGACAGAACCAAAAUACACUCUGAACGACAACAGUAAGCACAAUCUCCAUAAAAAACCAAAGGAAGAAAUCUUAAGUCAGCCCCAAACUCCAGACUCUCUAGGGAAAGGCUCACUUGGCAAGGAGCCAACUACUCAUAAGGGAUUGAGGUCUCAGUUCAACAUAGUCUGUGAGGAAGUGAAUCCUGCCAACAACCAGUUGAGUAAGCUUAGAAGUAAAUCCUCCCUCGUUGAGUCUUCAAGUGAGAUGACAUCCCCAGCUGACACUUUGACUGCCGCCUUCUGAGAGACCCUGAAGCAGAAGACCCAGCUAAAGUGUGCCCGUAGAACCCGUAGAAGCUGACCCAUCGAAAUUGUGAGAGAAUAAAUGUG